UCUCUGACCCCGUGUAUCUGAUAAAUCCCUAACCCCUUCCCUCCUCCCUUUUUUCCCCAAAUCAAAAACCCACCUCCUUCGAUCCACCAUUCCACCUCCGGUGUCCGGUCCUCCACGACACCACCUCCGCUCUAGCGAAUCUAGCCUUCAACGUCUUCUACCUUUGAAUUUCAAAGUGAAUAUUGGGGGGGAUUUUGAUUGUGUUUAUAACAUAUUAUUCUUUGCAACAAAAAGAGUGAUUGAGUCCGACUAAAGCGAGUGAGUGAAAGGCGUGGCAAGAGAGCAAGUUCGACUCGCAAACGAUCAGCAAGUGAAGGAAGAAAAUCAUGAUUGUUCUGGUUUUUUUUUUUAGUUCUUUUGCUGGUUAAUGAGGAAACAGCUGUGCGAUUGGUGGAAUCGUCUUUGCGGACAUCUGAGUACCGACCCAUCAACGUCUUUGUUAAUUUUUAUUCUGAGCCUGAAUACAACUUUAGAGUCCCAAGAACAAAUUUCUUUCCUCAACCUAAUGUUGAUGCAGCUGUUGUUACAUUUAGGCUGAAACAGGCUCUAGACUAUCCUUCAGUGGCCUCCACGAAAAGCUUUUUCUCCAUGGUUGGUUGAUUCCUAUGUUGAGGCAGCCUUGUUGUUAGUAAAACUCAUCAUAGUUCCGUGUAGUUCUGUAGGAACUUAAAGUAGACUUUCAAACUUGAGUUCUAACCGGUUUUGAGAUGAUAUUCAUGUAUUUUUUGGGUGAUAAAACCUAAAUUAGUAACUAAAUUACAAUUUAUAUUUUGUUAUAAAAUUAAAUAUGUAGAUUUGUUAAUGUAUGGAUAUUUUUGUUGGUUGAUUA